rnacentral:rRNA from 1 species
CCCUUAGACGUCCUGGGCCGCACGCGCGCUACACUGAGUGUCUGAGAUACGAGUCUGCCUGGUCCGGCAAGGUCUAGGUAAUCGCUAAAAGACACAUCAUGCUUGGGAUAGAUUAUUGCAAAUAUUAAUCUUGAACGAGGAAUUCCUAGUAAGCGCAAGUCAACAGCUUGCGUUGAUUACGUCCCUGCCCUUUGUACACACCGCCCGUCGCUACUACUGAUUGGAUGUUUAAGCGAGGUUCUCGAACUGCUAGCGACUUAGCUUCGGUGAGGUCGCAGUGUGGGAAGUGAACCUAGCUUUGGUGUCUAGAGGAAGUAAAAGUCGUAACA